rnacentral:lncRNA from 1 species
CCUGAUAUUUAUUUUUAUUCACACAACCCAUUACUGUUCAUAUUUAUUUUUUAUUUACACAACUCAUUAUUGUUCAUUCAUAAUAUGAGUAGGUGAUUUGUUUGGAUGUUUAUUUGGGCACAAAUAACUAUUCAACUUGCUUUAUAUGUUUUUUCAGGCUAGAAGUCCAAUAAAAUAUUCCUCCCCAAACAUUCUUAAUCAUCAUAACUGAAUACCCUUUCCACUAAACUAGAAGCCCACUAAGCCUUAGCCCAUUUGGUAAUAUUUUUAAUUUUUCUGAUUUAUUUCUAUUUUAAUUUAUUUUUAAAUUAGUGUAACACCUCGUUUCAUUCUUAUUUCCUUUCUUUUCUUUUAGUUGGCCCAAACGUUUCCUUUCCAGCCCAUUUAAGGUAUGCCUAAUCAAUAUUUAAUCUUUAUUACAGCUACCCCUUUUUUAGAAAAAUAAAAAUAAAACCCAGAAGCUUACUGGACUUGGCCUGACCCAAAUUGUUGGAGCUUUCUGAUCCACGCCUAACGAGUUGUAAACUCAACUAGCUACCAGCCCCCCAAAAAACAAAAAAAAAACUCAUCUUCUUCCUCCAAACUCCUGGGACAUCCAGGAAACCUCAGUCACUCCUUUUCUCACCAGAUUUCAAACUUAUCACACUACACCAUCAUAUACAUAAUGAUUUUCAAAUUUUUCAAUAUCUUUAUUUUCAAAUAUUUUUAAAAUAACUAAUCUCUAUACAAUACCAUAAUAUUCAUUCAAUCAAAAAAAAAUCAAACCACUGCAUUAUUUCAAAUAUGAAAUUUAGAGUAAUAAACUACUCUUACUUUUCCCUGAAUUUUGGAAUGAAGGACGGUCGCGGUGCAGUAAAUCUUUCUUUUAUCAGUUAUCUGCACAAAAUGAGUCGAUAAACCUUAUGUUACCUCGGCAUUCAGCGUAGGACACCGAGCUACCUUUGGGUUUAAGACUAAAAUUAAUAGAGGUAAUCUAAGGUGAAGAAUGUACCUUUGGAUCGAUGACGGUACGCCGUCCAAAGUGAGCUCGCACAGCUACUCCUCCUCUCCUUCCUAUAUUGACCGACGGCUCCUAAAUCUA